CGGGGUGUAGCGCAGCCUGGUAGCGCGCGUCGUUCGGGACGACGAGGUCGUGAGUUCGAACCUCACCACCCCGACCA
rnacentral:tRNA from 4 species